GAGUUUGAUCCUGGCUCAGAACGAACGCUGGCGGCAGGCCUUAUACAUGCAAGUCGAGCGCAUCCUUCGGGAUGAGCGGCGGACGGGUGAGUAACGCGUGGGAAUGUGCCCUUCUCUACGGAAUAGCCACUGGAAACGGUGAGUAAUACCGUAUACGCCCUUAGGGGGAAAGAUUUAUCGGAGAAGGAUCAGCCCGCGUUAGAUUAGGUAGUUGGUGGGGUAACGGCCUACCAAGCCUACGAUCUAUAGCUGGUUUUAGAGGAUGAUCAGCCACACUGGGACUGAGACACGGCCCAGACUCCUACGGGAGGCAGCAGUAGGGAAUCUUGGACAAUGGGGGAAACCCUGAUCCAGCCAUGCCGCGUGAGUGAAGAAGGCCUUAGGGUCGUAAAGCUCUUUCGCCUGUGAUAAUAAUGACAGUAGCAGGUAAAGAAACCCCGGCUAACUCCGUGCCAGCAGCCGCGGUAAUACGGAGGGGGUUAGCGUUGUUCGGAAUUACUGGGCGUAAAGCGGGCGUAGGCGGAUUGGAAAGUUGGGGGUGAAAUCCCGGGGCUCAACCCCGGAACUGCCUCCAAAACUGCCAGUCUAGAGUUCGAGAGAGGUGAGUGGAACUCCAAGUGUAGAGGUGAAAUUCGUAGAUAUUUGGAAGAACACCAGUGGCGAAGGCGGCUCACUGGCUCGAUACUGACGCUGAGGUGCGAAAGUGUGGGGAGCAAACAGGAUUAGAUACCCUGGUAGUCCACACCGUAAACGAUGAAUGCCAGUCGUCGGGUAGUAUACUAUUCGGUGACACACCCAACGGAUUAAGCAUUCCUCCUGGGGAGUACGGUCGCAAGAUUAAAACUCAAAGGAAUUGACGG
rnacentral:rRNA from 1 species